rnacentral:misc_RNA from 1 species
GAGUUCUAUGAUGCGAUUUCUGCUCAUUCAUCAUCAUCGGAAGAGAGUGAUGAUGAAGAUCAACUGAUAAACAAGGACAAGAAAGUGAAAUUGAAGAAUGUUUCUUGGGCCAUCACAAGCUUAGCUAUGAAGCGAACUUCAGUUCUGGAUGCAGAUAAGGUAUUGGAUCCUAGUGAAGCUCCAAUCAAUAUUGAUCUAAGCCAAUUCCACAGCUCCUUACCCAAAGGGAAGGAUGAGAAGG